GCAAAGUGCCUGCGGCGGAGAGAAUAGGUAGAUCGUAAAGACGCCGUACUUCUUUUUUAAAAACACGCCUCCCUGAUGGCUCGAGCCGCGCCAUCCCUGGCGCAGACGCUUU
rnacentral:ncRNA from 1 species